GCUUGCUUCGGCAGCGCAGACACUAAAACUGGAACGAUACAGAGAUUAGCAUGGCCCCUGCACAAGUGUGACAGGAGAAGCAGAAAAGGUAAAAGCAACAAA